GCUUCACUUGAUCAGCUUGUAAAUUGGAUUAUGACUAAUCAAGAAGCUUCAAAUGAGGUACUUGUACAGUCAAGCAAGAUUGAAGUUCCAAUUGGAAUUCUACAAAAGGAGGCCUCUCAGCCUCGAGCAGAUUAGAAUUUGCAUGUUAAACUGACUGAUGCCCAUCAUGGCAUUGUUUUGUUCAUGUGUAUCUAGAGAGAGAUGAUUGUGCUAGUACUAUAGCUCACUUUAUGUGUGGUAGAGUUGCUACAUGUCGAGUGGAUUUUAUGCAGGGGAUCAUUUGCAGCUGAGCACCUCAUGUUAAAAGGAGAUGCUACAGGUGUUUGCCCUUUCUCCUGUAUUUCUGGUAGUGAUUGUUUGUCUUCUGGCCACUACAGUAUAGAUGAAAUGUCACAAUAUUCAUUGAAGCUGAUAUUGUUUUGUUGUUGGGAGAACCUUAGCAUGCACAUUGUCUCCUGUAGCUUUGCACUGUCCAUCUAAUACACCAUCAUAUUUACUGUUUAGGUUAUAUAUGGAUUUGCAAACCUGUAUAUUGA